rnacentral:sRNA from 1 species
AGCACCAUGAGCCGCCAGCUUCUGCCUGUACUACUGCUGCUGCUGCUCAGGGCUUCGUGCCCAUGGGGUCAGGAACAGGGAGCCAGGAGCCCCUCAGAGGAGCCUCCAGGGGAGGAAAUCCCCAAGGAGGAUGGGAUCUUGGUGCUGAGCCGCCACACCCUGGGCCUGGCCCUGCGGGAGCACCCUGCCCUGCUGGUGGAAUUCUAUGCCCCGUGGUGUGGGCACUGCCAGGCCCUGGCCCCCGAGUACAGCAAGGCAGCUGCCGUGCUCGCGGCCGAGUCAACGGUGGUCACGCUGGCCAAGGUGGACGGGCCCGCGCAGCGCGAGCUGGCUGAGGAGUUUGGUGUGACGGAGUACCCUACGCUCAAGUUCUUCCGCAACGGGAACCGCACGCACCCGGAGGAGUACACAGGUGAGGGGCAGGCCGGUCACGGGGGGGCGGUGGCCAGGCCGAGGCUGAGGGGGACUCCCUGCAGGACCACGGGACGCUGAGGGCAUUGCCGAGUGGCUGCGACGGCGGGUGGGGCCCAGUGCCACGCGGCUGGAGGACGAGGCGGCCGCCCAGGCGCUGAUCGGUGGCCGGGACCUAGUGGUCAUCGGCUUCUUCCAGGACCUGCAGGACGAGGACGUGGCCGCCUUCUUGGCCCUGGCCCAGGACGCCCUGGACAUGACCUUUGGCCUCACAGACCGGCCGCGGCUCUUUCAGCAGUUUGGUCUCAGCAAGGACACUGUGGUUCUCUUCAAGAAGGUAGGUCAGGCCCAGGUGAGGGUUGGGGUCCGGCUGCCGCGCCCGCUGACCCACCUGCUGCUGUCCAGUUUGACGAGGGGCGGGCAGACUUCGCCGUGGACGAGGAGCUUGGCCUGGACCUGGGGGAUCUGUUGCGCUUCCUGGUCACACACAGCAUGCGCCUGGUCACGGAGUUCAAUAGCCAGACGUCUGCCAAGAUCUUCGCGGCCAGGAUCCUCAACCACCUGCUGCUUUUUGUCAACCAGACGCUGGCUGCGCACCGGGAGCUCCUAGCGGGCUUUGGGGAGGCAGCUCCCCGCUUCCGGGGGCAGGUGCUGUUCGUGGUGGUGGACGUGGUGGCCGACAAUGAGCACGUGCUGCAGUACUUUGGCCUCAAGGCUGAGGCAGCCCCCACUCUGCGCUUGGUCAACCUUGAAACCACUAAAAAGUAUGCGCCUGUGGAUGGGGGCCCUGUCACCGCAGCAUCCAUCACUGCUUUCUGCCAUGCAGUCCUCAACGGCCAAGUCAAGCCCUAUCUCCUGAGCCAGGAGAUACCCCCUGAUUGGGAUCAGCGGCCAGUUAAGACCCUCGUGAGCAAGAAUUUUGAGCAGGUGGCUUUUGACGAAACCAAGAAUGUGUUUGUCAAGUUCUGUGAGUGUUGAGGGAGGCAGGGGUGGUGUGGGCUGGGCAGGGGCUGCCCAGAUGGCUGUGCUCAACGGCUCCCAUCCUAGAUGCCCCGUGGUGUACCCACUGCAAGGAGAUGGCCCCUGCCUGGGAGGCAUUGGCUGAGAAGUACCAAGACCACGAGGACAUCAUCAUUGCUGAGCUGGAUGCCACGGCCAACGAGCUGGAUGCCUUCGCUGUGCACAGCUUCCCUACCCUCAAGUACUUCCCAGCAGGGCCAGGUCGGAAGGUGAUUGAAUACAAAAGCACCAGGGAUCUGGAGACUUUCUCCAAGUUCCUGGACAAUGGGGGCGUGCUGCCCAAGGAGGAGCCCCCGGAGGAGCCAGCAGCCCCAUUCCUGGAGCCACCGGCCAACUCCACUAUGGGGUCCAAGGAGGAACUGUAGCUGCCCCCGUCACCCCCCCCCCUUCACUGCUGGACAGGAGCCACCCCCUUGGGUACCAGAGGGAGCUGUGCACUGUGAAUAAAGAAAGAGCUUGGUUCUGG